GUGCUUAACAUGCAAGUCGACGAUGAACCUUCGGGAGNGGAUUAGGGCGGACGGGUGAGUACACGUGGGUAACUGCCUCUAGAGGGGAAUAGCCUUCAGGAAGAUUAAACCGCAUAAGAUUGUAGCCGCAUGGCAUAGCAAUUAAAGGAGUAAUCCGUAUGAGAUGGACCCGCGCGCAUUAUAGUUGGU
rnacentral:rRNA from 1 species